GUACACAAAAAUGCACAUACUGUGAGCUCGAUGAGUAGGGCGGGACACGUGGUAUCCUGUCUGAAUAUGGGGGGACCAUCCUCCAAGGCUAAAUACUCCUGACUGACCGAUAGUGAACCAGUACCGUGAGGGAAAGGCGAAAAGAACCCCGGCGAGGGGAGUGAAAAAGAACCUGAAACCGUGUACGUACAAGCAGUGGGAGCCUCUUAAUGGGGUGACUGCGUACCUUUUGUAUAAUGGGUCAGCGACUUAUAUUCUGUAGCAAGGUUAACCGAAUAGGGGAGCCGAAGGGAAACCGAGUCUUAACUGGGCGUUAAGUUGCAGGGUAUAGACCCGAAACCCGGUGAUCUAGCCAUGGGCAGGUUGAAGGUUGGGUAACACUAACUGGAGGACCGAACCGACUAAUGUUGAAAAAUUAGCGGAUGACUUGUGGCUGGGGGUGAAAGGCCAAUCAAACCGGGAGAUAGCUGGUUCUCCCCGAAAGCUAUUUAGGUAGCGCCUCGUGAAUUCAUCUCCGGGGGUAGAGCACUGUUUCGGCAAGGGGGUCAUCCCGACUUACCAACCCGAUGCAAACUGCGAAUACCGGAGAAUGUUAUCACGGGAGACACACGGCGGGUGCUAACGUCCGUCGUGAAGAGGGAAACAACCCAGACCGCCAGCUAAGGUCCCAAAGUCAUG
rnacentral:rRNA from 1 species